rnacentral:rRNA from 1 species
CAGUCGCCGCGGUAAUACGGAGGGGGCUAGCGUUGUUCGGAAUUACUGGGCGUAAAGCGCACGUAGGCGGCUUUGCAAGUCAGAGGUGAAAGCCCGGGGCUCAACUCCGGAAUAGCCUUUGAGACUGCAUCGCUUGAACACGGGAGAGGUGAGUGGAAUUCCGAGUGUAGAGGUGAAAUUCGUAGAUAUUCGGAAGAACACCAGUGGCGAAGGCGGCUCACUGGACCGUUGUUGACGCUGAGGUGCGAAAGCGUGGGGAGCAAACAGGAUUAGAUACCCCCGUAGUCCCUGUCUCUUAUAC